rnacentral:rRNA from 1 species
GACGAACGCUGGCGGNGUGCUUAACACAUGCAAGUCGAGCGGUAAGGCCCUUUCGGGGGUACGACGAGCGGCGAACGGGUAGAGUAACACGUGGGUGACCUGCCCUCAGCUCUGGGAUAAGCCUGGGAAACCGGGUCUAAUACCGGAUAUGACUCCAUGACGCAUGUUGUGGGGUGGAAAGCCUUGUGCGGCUGAGGAUGGGCCCGCGGCCUAUCAGCUUGUUGGUGGGGUGAGGCCUACCAAGGCGACGACGGGUAGCCGGCCUGAGAGGGCGACCGGCCACACUGGGA